rnacentral:rRNA from 1 species
CCUACGGGAGGCAGCAGUGAGGAAUAUUGGUCAAUGGGCGCGAGCCUGAACCAGCCAAGUCGCGUGAGGGAGGACGGCCCUACGGGUUGUAAACCUCUUUUGCCGGGGAGCAACGGGCGCCACGUGUGGCGUCACUGAGAGUACCCGGAGAAAAAGCAUCGGCUAACUCCGUGCCAGCCGCCGCGGUAAUACGGAGGAUGCGAGCGUUAUCCGGAUUUAUUGGGUUUAAAGGGUGCGUAGGCGGAAUGCCAAGUCAGCGGUAAAAUCGCGGGGCUCAACCUCGCUCCGCCGUUGAAACUGGCGUUCUUGAGUGGGCGAGAAGUAUGCGGAAUGCGUGGUGUAGCGGUGAAAUGUAUAGAUAUCACGCAGAACUCCGAUUGCGAAGGCAGCAUACCGGCGCCCAACUGACGCUGAAGCACGAAAGCGUGGGUAUCGAACAGGAUUAGAUACCCUGGUAGUC